GCUGCAGCUGCUUGCUCCUUGCCGAAGCUCCAGGAAGCGCGAAUGCUGGCCCUGAGGUGAGAUUCCUCCUCUGGCCCUCGGGGGCUGCUCUCCUCCUCCCUUUGCAGGCCUGCUCUGCACUCAGCGUUCACCUAGACUCUGGAAGUGUAAGUGAUCCCAAAGGUCAGGGAGUGUCCACUGCCCCUCCAGCUGGAGGCUGCCCUCUACCCGCAGGCCCCACCACCUGGGAGGAGUGGUCCCCGAGGAGGAGGUGCCCUUGCGUCCAGCACUCUGCCCCUGAGAAUGGGCUCCUUCUCAUCCCUGUGAUUCCCUCUGUCACCGCUUGGCUGUAGUUCCGUGUCCUGACCUUACUGAAGAGGAGGCCCGGCAGCCGUGCAGUAGCAAGAGGACAGCGAGCCUUGUUUCUUUGGCCCCAGUCUCCCUUUUCCUCCCAAUCCUCAGGUGGCCUGAUUCCAACAGGCAGACUCCACUGCCCUCCUUGCUCCCUGUCCCCCAGGUAGCUCCAGUUGGGUGGGUCCCUCUCAGUAUGGCCCAGAUCACGUGGUCCAAACUGAGAACUGUACUUAUUUCUGCCUUUGUGUAGUGACGCUCCAAGUCCACAGGAGGAAGCUGCAUCACAAGGCACCUGCAGUCACCCACGAGCUACUUUGCCACCACUGCUUAGGUGUGGUGCCUGCACACAUAGGGUGGCCUGGUUGAGUUGGUACUUUGGGAGUUUCUGUGAACAUCUGGCAACCUCCUCACUUGCAUUCAUAUCACAAGCCAGAAUAGCACCGUCAGUUGGGGGCGGAUCAGUGCUCAUUUCCAUGUUUCCAUCUCCUGAGUCUCAGUAACAUCUUCUUUACUGUCCUCAGUCUCUGAGCAAACAAGCAAUGACCCCCGCGCCAGGCCCUCCACAGCUUGAGGGACGGCAUCCAAACGUCACACUGUGGCUGAGUGACACUGUGUGGUCCAGCUUAUUUGUUUAUGAGAUUCAGGUGUGGGAGAUCUG
rnacentral:lncRNA from 1 species